CACUCCUGCGGGAGGCAGCAGUGGGGAAUUUUGGACAAUGGGCGAAAGCCUGAUCCAGCAAUGCCGCGUGAGUGAAGAAGGCCUUCGGGUUGUAAAGCUCUUUUGUCAGGGAAGAAACGGUGAGAGCUAAUAUCUUUUGCUAAUGACGGUACCUGAAGAAUAAGCACCGGCUAACUACGUGCCAGCAGCCGCGGUAAUACGUAGGGUGCAAGCGUUAAUCGGAAUUACUGGGCGUAAAGCGUGCGCAGGCGGUUUUGUAAGUCUGAUGUGAAAUCCCCGGGCUCAACCUGGGAAUUGCAUUGGAGACUGCAAGGCUAGAAUCUGGCAGAGGGGGGUAGAAUUCCACGUGUAGCAGUGAAAUGCGUAGAUAUGUGGAGGAACACCGAUGGCGAAGGCAGCCCCCUGGGUCAAGAUUGACGCUCAUGCACGAAAGCGUGGGGAGCAAACAGGAUUAGAAACCCGAGUAGUCCCA
rnacentral:rRNA from 1 species